GACGAACGCUGGCGGCGUGCCUAAUACAUGCAAGUUGAGCGCUGAAGGUUGGUACUUGUACCAACUGGAUGAGCAGCGAACGGGUGAGUAACGCGUGGGGAAUCUGCCUUUGAGCGGGGGACAACAUUUGGAAACGAAUGCUAAUACCGCAUAAAAACUUUAAACACAAGUUUUAAGUUUGAAAGAUGCAAUUGCAUCACUCAAAGAUGAUCCCGCGUUGUAUUAGCUAGUUGGUGAGGUAAAGGCUCACCAAGGCGAUGCUACAUAGCCGACCUGAGAGGGUGAUCGGCCACAUUGGGACUGAGACACGGCCCAAACUCCUACGGGAGGCAGCAGUAGGGAAUCUUCGGCAAUGGGCGAAAGUCUGACCGAGCAACGCCGCGUGAGUGAAGAAGGUUUUCGGAUCGUAAAACUCUGUUGGUAGAGAAGAACGUUGGUGAGAGUGGAAAGCUCAUCAAGUGACGGUAACUACCCAGAAAGGGACGGCUAACUACGUG
rnacentral:rRNA from 1 species